rnacentral:tRNA from 1 species
GGUCGUGUAGCUGAAGAAGGAUAUAGCACUACUGUGGUUUAUCUGCGAUUACUCACAGUAGAGGUUGCAAGUUCGAGUCUUGCCACGAUCU